GAUGAACGCUAGCUACAGGCUUAACACAUGCAAGUCGAGGGGAAACGGCAUUGAGUGCUUGCACUCUUUGGACGUCGACCGGCGCACGGGUGAGUAACGCGUAUCCAACCUUCCCAUUACUGUGGGAUAACCUGCCGAAAGGCAGACUAAUACCGCAUAGUCUUCGAUGACGGCAUCAGAUUUGAAGUAAAGAUUUAUCGGUAAUGGAUGGGGAUGCGUCUGAUUAGCUUGUUGGCGGGGUAACGGCCCACCAAGGCUACGAUCAGUAGGGGUUCUGAGAGGAAGGUCCCCCACAUUGGAACUGAGACACGGUCCAAACUCCUACGGGAGGCAGCAGUGAGGAAUAUUGGUCAAUGGACGGAAGUCUGAACCAGCCAAGUAGCGUGCAGGAUGACGGCCCUAUGGGUUGUAAACUGCUUUUGUAUGGGGAUAAAGUUAGGGACGUGUCCCUAUUUGCAGGUACCAUACGAAUAAGGACCGGCUAAUUCCGUGCCAGCAGCCGCGGUAAUACGGAAGGUCCAGGCGUUAUCCGGAUUUAUUGGGUUUAAAGGGAGCGUAGGCUGGAGAUUAAGUGUGUUGUGAAAUGUAGACGCUCAACGUCUGAAUUGCAGCGCAUACUGGUUUCCUUGAGUACGCACAACGUUGGCGGAAUUCGUCGUGUAGCGGUGAAAUGCUUAGAUAUGACGAAGAACUCCGAUUGCGANNNAGCUGACGGGAGCGCAACUGACGCUUAAGCUCGAAGGUGCGGGUAUCAANNGG
rnacentral:rRNA from 1 species